GACGAACCGAGCGAACGUUGUUCGGAAUCACUGGGCUUAAAGGGCGCGUAGGCGGGUUGCCAAGUCUGGGGUGAAAUCCCACGGCUCAACCGUGGAACUGCCUCGGAUACUGGCGACCUCGAGGGAGGUAGGGGCAUGCGGAACUGUGAGUGGAGCGGUGAAAUGCGUUGAUAUUCACAGGAACUCCGGUGGCGAAGGCGGCGUGCUGGACCUCUUCUGACGCUGAGGCGCGAAAGCUAGGGGAGCAAACGGG
rnacentral:rRNA from 1 species